UACGAAGGGGGCUAGCGUUGUUUGGAAUUACUGGGCGUAAAGCGCACGUAGGCGGAUAUUUAAGUCAGGGGUGAAAUCCCAGAGCUCAACUCUGGAACUGCCUUUGAUACUGGGUAUCUUGAGUAUGGAAGAGGUAAGUGGAAUUGCGAGUGUAGAGGUGAAAUUCGUAGAUAUUCGCAGGAACACCAGUGGCGAAGGCGGCUUACUGGUCCAUAAC
rnacentral:rRNA from 1 species